rnacentral:lncRNA from 1 species
CUAUACGAUCCCGCUGUGGCCACCGUCGAGCACGCUCUUUUUGUCUUGCUGUACUUGGCCGACAGAGGUGUCUUCAUGCUACCUCGUAGUCAAAACCAUGUUUUAGGUUUCUACCACUUGAUGAUCACGCUUCCUGAGCUUCCCGACAUGUACCUGUCUCCAACACCGUCGGACUCGACUCUCGCUCUCGAAGACGAUGAAGGCAGAGACGAGGAAGACCUCAUCGAGGAAGACCUCAUCGAGGACUAGUGCCUUCCUUGCGAUCGGCAUUCUCUGCUUGCGACUCACGGCGAAUAGUGAUGCCAGAUUUCAUCCUUUCACUAUGUUGGAAUGCACGCUUUCAGGGCUUCACAAAUGUAGUUGCAAAUGAAAGUACAAAGUGCAACUGCUGCAGGUUCAUACAGCAAGUAAACAAGCAGUGAACGUUGGAGUUUUCUUUCCUUCUCUGUCAGCGGCACGUCAGCCUUCCGUAAGUGCGCUUCAUUCCGGUGGAGGAUUCAUGGAAUUAUUUCCAUGGAAUUGUUUCUACCAUUCGCUAAUUAAGCUAAUGUAUCUCUUUUUGUGCUUAAUUGGGACAUGAAAGUAAAGAUGCAGGAAAGAU